rnacentral:tRNA from 1 species
GUCGUCGUAGUUCAAUGGUAGAACAUCACAUUCACACUGUGAAAACGUAGGUUCAAUUCCUACCGAUGACA